rnacentral:rRNA from 1 species
GAUUGGCUCAGGAUGAACGCUGGCGGCGUGCUUAACACAUGCAAGUCGAGCGAAGCACUUAGGAAAGAUUCUUCGGAUGAUUUCCUAUUUGACUGAGCGGCGGACGGGUGAGUAACGCGUGGGUAACCUGCCUCAUACAGGGGGAUAACAGUUAGAAAUGACUGCUAAUACCGCAUAAGACCACAGCACCGCAUGGUGCAGGGGUAAAAACUCCGGUGGUAUGAGAUGGACCCGCGU